rnacentral:rRNA from 1 species
CCUACGGGGGGCAGCAGUAGGGAAUAUUGCUCAAUGGGGGAAACCCUGAAGCAGCAACGCCGCGUGGAGGAUUAAGGUUUUCGGAUUGUAAACUCCUUUUGUUAGAGAAGAUAAUGACGGUAUCUAACGAAUAAGCACCGGCUAACUCCGUGCCAGCAGCCGCGGUAAUACGGAGGGUGCAAGCGUUACGCGGAAUCACUGGGCGGAAAGAGCGCGUAGGCGGGAUAGCAAGUCAGAUGUGAAAUCCUAUGGCUUAACCAUAGAACUGCAUUUGAAACUGUUAUUCUAGAGUAUGGGAGAGGUAGGUGGAAUUCUUGGUGUAGGGGUAAAAUCCGUAGAGGUCAAGAGGAAUACUCAUUGCGAAGGCGACCUGCUAGAACAUAACUGACGCUGAUGCGCGAAAGCGUGGGGAGCAAACAGGAUUAGAUACCCGGGUAGUC